CGUUGAAACAUUGGUUCUCGUUAGAUCACUGAAAUUAAGCAACGUGGAGCUAGGUAAGUACUUGGAUGGAUAACUGCUUGGGAAUACCAGAUGCUGUAAG